rnacentral:rRNA from 1 species
GAUGAACGCUCGCGGCAGGCCUAACACAUGCAAGUCGAGGGAGGAGCCUUCGGGCUUCGACCGGCGUACGGGUGCGUAACGCGUAUACAAUCUGCCUUUCACAUAGGGAUAGCCCGAAGAAAUUUGGAUUAAUACCUAAUGGUAUAUAGAUGUGGCAUCACCUUUAUAUUAAAGCUGAGGCGGUGAAAGAUGAGUAUGCGUUCUAUUAGCUAGUUGGAGAGGUAACGGCUCCCCAAGGCGACGAUAGAUAGGGGUUCUGAGAGGGAUAUCCCCCACACUGGUACUGAGAUACGGACCAGACUCCUACGGGAGGCAGCAGUGAGGAAUAUUGGACAAUGGUCGGAAGACUGAUCCAGCCAUGCCGCGUGCAGGAAGACGGCCUUAUGGGUUGUAAACUGCUUUUGCAGGGGAAGAAUAAGGACUACGCGUAGUUUGAUGACGGUACUCUGCGAAUAGGCAUCGGCUAACUCCGUG